GGGGAGAGAUAUGGUUUUUAAUUAAAAACAACUAACUUUUAAAACCCUAGGAGAUCUUCUCUUUAUAUAGGUCCUUUCUUGAUCCAAGUCAGAAACCAAUUAACUUAAAAAAGGUACAUCUUUAUCUCAUAAGGAUUUCUAUAUUUUUAAUUUAAUUUUUUCAUUAAAAUUAGACUUAAUUGGGAGGACAUCCAUCUCUUUUAGUAAGCAUAUGGGGUGCCCCAGUUAGAUAAGACAAUCUGAGUGGGCGUCCCAUGCAAUAUAGGGC
rnacentral:lncRNA from 1 species